UACGUAGGCAGCGAGCGUUGUUCGGAAUUACUGGGCGUAAAGAGUGUGUAGGCGGUGCUCCAAGUCUGUUGUGAAAUCUCCCGGCUUAACUGGGAGGGUGCGGCGGAAACUGGAGUGCUCGAGUGUGGGAGAGGUAAGCGGAAUUCCUGGUGUAGCGGUGAAAUGCGUAGAUAUCAGGAGGAACACCUGUGGUGUAGACAGCUUACUGGACCACGACGGACGCUGAGACACGAAAGCGUGGGUAGAAAACAGG
rnacentral:rRNA from 1 species